rnacentral:tRNA from 1 species
AGGAGAGUAGCUUAAAGGUAAAGCGGCGUCUUGAUAAGGCGAUGAGUGUAGGUUCAAUUCCUACCUUUCCUACCA